rnacentral:misc_RNA from 1 species
AACGCACAUUGCGCCUUCUGGUAUUCCGGGAGGCAUGCCUGUUCGAGCGUCAUUAAAAACCACUCAAGCACCUUUGCUUGGUAUUGGGAGAGGAGCGCGUCUGACGUUCUCCCUCCCGAAAUGCAAUGGCGGAGAGCCCCAUCGUGCCCCGGCGUAGUAAGUAUUCUUUCGCUUGGACCGUGAGGUGAUCCAGCCGCAAACCCCCAAUUAUUCUAGGUUGACCUCGGAUCAGGUAGGGAUACCCGCUGAACUUAA